CCAGCCACUGGGGCCGUGUCGAGUGGUGGCACUGCCAGCCCUGCAGUGGGAUGUAGCCUGGAAACUGCCCAGAGCUGAGCCAAGUGAUUUAAAGGGACCAACCAAGGGAGGUGAAGAAACAAGGAAGAAAGGAGCUGAGGCAUCAGCCAAGCAGCACCAAGUUCCUGUGUCAGCAGGGACACUGAGCUGGUCCAGCUGUGGCAAGAAGAGCAAGUGGGCUGUGAAGGUUUGGAGCAGUCUGGAAGGUUCCUCAUGCCCAAAGGAUCCUGGAAGUGCAGCCCAGGAAGAGUCAGGAGUAAUGACAAGUGCCCCAGUUCUCGUGAAACUCAGCUGUGUAAAACAUUUAUGAAGCUAAAACUCCACAGCAUUGAGCUGUUGGGUCCCAAAUAAUAGUGGAGGGAGAGGCAGAAAAUCCCCCUGCUGCUGGAGCCGAACUGUCUGCAGUGACUGGGCAGGACUUGGCCCUGAUGCCUGAGUGCUCUCCAGCCCCCCAGGCUCGAUCCCAAC